rnacentral:rRNA from 1 species
GUUGCUUCGGCGGGAACAGACGGCCCUGUAACAACGGGCCGCCCCCGCCAGAGGACCCCUAACUCUGUUUUUAUAAUGUUUUUCUGAGUAAACAAGCAAAUAAAUUAAAACUUUCAACAACGGAUCUCUUGGCUCUGGCAUCGAUGAAGAACGCAGCGAAAUGCGAUAAGUAAUGUGAAUUGCAGAAUUCAGUGAAUCAUCGAAUCUUUGAACGCACAUUGCGCCCGCCAGUAUUCUGGCGGGCAUGCCUGUUCGAGCGUCAUUACAACCCUCAGGCCCCCGGGCCUGGCGUUGGGGAUCGGCGGAAGCCCCCUGUGGGCACACGCCGUCCCUCAAAUACAGUGGCGGUCCCGCCGCAGCUUCCAUUGCGUAGUAGCUAACACCUCGCAACUGGAGAGCGGCGCGGCCAUGCCGUAAAACACCCAACUUCUGAAUGUUGACCUCGAAUCAGGUAGGAAUACCCGCUGAACUUAAGCAUAUCAAUAAGCGGAGGA